GACCUGUUCUCAGGUGUAAAGAUUGCUGUUUGCCAAGUGGUGAGCCGUUUCAUAUAUUUUCCCCACAUAAAGCUUGCGUGACAAAAUGAGCAACAGCGUUUCAUGUUGAUAAUUUUGACAAUCACUUCAAUGACAUCAACGAAGCUGAAAUGUUUGCCAUUUCUUUAUUGGCAAUUGACGCUUGUCGCCAUGGCGUCAUUAACUGGCCUUUCUGUGACCGACAGAGCUUCCGAUAUCAUGACAUAACUACGACCAGGAGAACCAGAGUAUAGCGGGGGAUGAGCCACCCGCUGUGGUCCAGCCCCAGGCGUGGUAGUCACGUGGCGUUUCAGUCCACCAGAAGAAUGAGAGCCGCAUGGACGGAAAUGUCCAUCAUGUCCAUACAAAACAGAUUUGACCAAAACUACCAAAGCCGUGGACCUUUUUCACAGUCAUAACAAGCGCCAACACACCAAGAUGUCAGCAUUAAAGCGCCCCCGCUAUGCACCUUUUUUGAAGACAAGGAGGUGACAGCUCCGGGAGACGAGCUUUGGAAAUGAGCUACAACCUAUUGAGGAUCAAACCGUCCAGCGGAGCAAGACGGAACUUGGCCCAUAAAGAAUGUUCUGGAGAACAAAAGAGCUGCAACAUGGCUUUUAUGAGGGCGCCAUCCCGAGCUGUGCAACACAUCUGCCUCGCACGGAUUCCCAUCAGGCCCCUCUCCGUCUGCCUGUGUGGCUGUUUGGAUCAUAACUCUGACUUUGAUUGAAACUGUUUGGGGAAAGGUGCUGAUUUACGGCGAUGAGCAUUUUUCGAGGCUGUAAUUUUAGGUGCUGUACUUGAUUACAGCCUAGAGGAAGGUGGGCGCUGGGUGUCUGAUUCCUGACAAUGCAAUGCAAUUUACUGAACAAAUCGGUGUCAGCAGAGGCGCUACGAGGAGGGGAAAAGUCGUGACGACGUUCCAAGGUGAUGGUGCGCUAUGAUCCGCCCUUUUCAAGUCUUAGGCCACCACGAAUUAGAAUGUUUGAAUGACCUCUUUCACAGCAAUCAAGUUGGCACAGUAAAAUAUCUCAUAGAAAUAUACUUCGAAUACAAAACCCAUUCCCACCAAACUGUUUAUUUUUAUUAUUGAAACAAAUUGUUCAAUAAAUUAUGAGUACAAGAUUAACAGAUUAAAAAAAAUGUCCAGAGAUGGCUUUGAAACCACAACAUGUGCCUUGGAAGGCAGCAGCUGUACCCUUACACCAGUGCUUCUCAAUAUCGUCAAUGCAGACCUACCAACAUGUACACAUUUAUAGUACUCAACAUGCAAUAAAUAUGAUCAGUUUCCCUCGUCAAAUUGGGUGUGAUGUGAAAAAAUGUCUGUCCCUUAUGGGGGGGGGCAUGGCAGAAAAUAAUUGAGAAGCACAGCCUGACACCAACAGGAAGCGACAGGCGGGUACUUGUAUUCCGACAUUGUAUUGUUACUUUGCUAUGUUCUGUCAAUCAUCAAGUGAGAUUAACCUUUUUCCUCUCUUUCCUGCCUCAGGCUAGCAUGGUGGUUGUUUAAGCAAAACGGGGCCCCAACGGAUCGGCCCCAGGAGGGUGCACGGACCAAGAAAAAUCUGUUGUAUUUCGUGUAGCUUAGAUUUUUUUCCUCCCUUAAAGGGGAACGGCAAUUUUGCCCAUCAUUCCCAAUCCUGAUGUGAAACAUGAACAUAUAUGUAUUUCCCUUUUCUGUGCAUUAUAACAGGAGAAAAGAAUUAAUACUAUGAGCUAGCUCAGGGGUGGGCAAACUUUUUGAC